rnacentral:rRNA from 1 species
UUCACAGUACGAACUGGCGACGGCCAUGCACCUCCUCUCAGCGAUUCAGGUAAGGUCUUUAGCCUGGCCUACAUAUUGCUGUCGCCCCCGGUGAGUUUUCCGGCGUUGAGUCCAAUUAAACCGCAGGCUCCACCCGUUGUUGUGCUCCCCCGCCAAUUCCUUUAAGUUUCAGCCUUGCGGCCGUACUUCCCAGGUGGCUCGCUUCACGGCUUCCCUGCGGCACCAAACACGGUCGCACCGUGCCUGACACCUAGCGAGCAUAGUUUACAGCUGGGACUACCCGGGUAUCUAAUCCGGUUCGUGCCCCCAGCUUUCGUCCCUCACCGUCGAACCCGUUCUG